GACGAACGCUGGCGGCGUGCUUAACACAUGCAAGUCGAGCGGAAAGGCCCUUCGGGGUACUCGAGCGGCGAACGGGUGAGUAACACGUGAGCAACCUGCCCCUGGCUCUGGGAUAGCUCCGGGAAACCGGGAUUAAUACCGGAUGUGACCUGCUGCGGCAUCGCGGCGGGUGGAAAGUUUUUUCGGCCAGGGAUGGGCUCGCGGCCUAUCAGCUUGUUGGUGGGGUAGUGGCCUACCAAGGCGACGACGGGUAGCCGGCCUGAGAGGGCGACCGGCCACACUGGGACUGAGACACGGCCCAGACUCCUACGGGAGGCAGCAGUGGGGAAUAUUGCGCAAUGGGCGGAAGCCUGACGCAGCGACGCCGCGUGCGGGAUGAAGGCCUUCGGGUUGUAAACCGCUUUCAGCAGGGGCGAAACUGACGGUACCUGCAGAAGAAGCGCCGGCUAACUACGUGCCAGCAGCCGCCGUAAUAC
rnacentral:rRNA from 1 species